GCACUAUGAGAUGUAUGGCUUCGGCUAGUUAAACUUGGCUGUUUAAUAUACCAAAUUAAAUUACGUUGUUUAAUUUGAAUAUUACUCAGGAUUCUAAGAAAAGUAUUACUUAGAAUCUAUAGUAUCAUUGCUAUAUUAUUAUAUAGCCUCUAGUAAAAAAUAUUUUAUUGGAGGAUUGAGAUAAAUUAUUCUCGUAAACAAGUAUAAUAUCGAUUUUAUCGAAUAAAGUUCUAGAUAGUGUUUAAUGAUUAUGACAGUACACAUAUCUAUAUGUCUUGACCAAAUUACGUGCCAGCAGUCGCGGCAAUACGUAGAAGACUAGUGUUAUUCAUCUUUAAUAGGUUUAAAGGGUACCUAGACGGUAUAAUUAGUCUUAAAUAGGAUACAAUUAUACUAGAGUUAUAUAUGGGAAGGGGAGUAUUUAUGGAGUUAGAGUUGAAAUUUUUUUAUACCAUAAGGACUGGUAACGGCGAAAGCAACCUUUUAUGUAUUAACUGACGUUGAGGGACGAAGGCUCGGGUAACAAACAGGAUUAGAUACCCUAGUAGUCCAAGCAGAAAAUGAUGAAUGCUAUAGAUUAGAUUUUUAUUUAGUCUAUAAAUGAAAAUGUAAGCAUUUCACCUCAAGAGUAAUGUGGCAACACAGGAACUGAAAUCAUUAGACCGUAUUUGAAACCAGUAGUGAAGUAUGUUAUUUAAUUCGUAGGUACACGAAAAACCUUACCACAACUUGAAUAUUAUCUUAAUAAGAUAUUACAAGCGUUGCACGGCUGUCUUCAGUUAAUGUCGUGAGAUAUUGGUUUAUUCCAUUAAAUUAACGGAAACCCUCGCUUUAUUUACAUAAAAUUUAAUUAAUAAAGCUGUUUGCAGUUAUAUUGUU
rnacentral:rRNA from 1 species